rnacentral:rRNA from 1 species
GACGAACGCUGGCGGCGUGCUUAACACAUGCAAGUCGAACGGAAAGGCCCUGCUUUUGUGGGGUGCUCGAGUGGCGAACGGGUGAGUAACACGUGAGUAACCUGCCCUUGACUUUGGGAUAACUUCAGGAAACUGGGGCUAAUACCGGAUAGGAGCUCCUGCUGCAUGGUGGGGGUUGGAAAGUUUCGGCGGUUGGGGAUGGACUCGCGGCUUAUCAGCUUGUUGGUGGGGUAGUGGCUUACCAAGGCUUUGACGGGUAGCCGGCCUGAGAGGGUGACCGGCCACAUUGGGACUGAGAUACGGCCCAGACUCCUACGGGAGGCAGCAGUGGGGAAUAUUGCACAAUGGGCGGAAGCCUGAUGCAGCAACGCCGCGUGCGGGAGGACGGCCUUCGGGUGGUAAACCGCUUUCGCCUGUGACGAAGCGUGAGUGACGGUAUGGGUAAAGAAGCACCGGCUAACUACGUG